UCCUGGGCUAGGGGUAGAAUCAGAGCUGCAGCUGCCCGCCUGCACCACAGCCACCACCACGCAGGAUCCCAGCCACAUCUGUGGCCUUAACCACAGUUUGCGGCAAUGCCAGAUACCUAACCGCCUGAGCGAGGCCAGGGAUCGAAUCCAAAUCCUCAUGGAUACUGUAUCAGGUUCUUAACCCACCGAGCCACAAUGGGAAUCUUUAUGUUCAUGCUACAAGGACCAGCUCAAAUGUUAUUUCCAAACUGCUCUAACUGAAUAACAGUUUCUCCCUCUGCAUUCCCAUAGGGUUUUUUCAUGCAACUAUUAGAACACUAAUCAAUUUAUUACGGUAAAUUGUUUACAUCCCAGACAAUGAAGUCGGUGAAAGACAGAAAACACCAUUUAUUUCUCUUUCCAUGUCUAAAAUGUACCUAAUUCGGGGUAGUUAUUCAAUUUAAAACCAAAAAAAAAAAAAAAAGGUUUUUUUGGCCAUACCUGCAGCAUAUAGAACUUCCUGGGCCAGGGAUCCAACCUGAGCCACAGCUGCAACAAUGCCAGAUUCCUAACCCACUGCCCUGGGCUGAGGAUCAAACCCAUGCAGCCGCAGAGAAUAUGCCAGAUCCUCAACUCCUCAACCCGCUGCACCACAGCAUGAACUCCUCAAUAAAUCUGUGUUGAAUAAUUUUAUUAACGUGACUCAAGAUCCUUACUAAUAAUUUUAUUUUAUUUAAGAAGAUAUUAUAAUAUUAGUCUUUGAAACAGCAAUGAAAAAGAGAACUCUUUUUUUUAUUGCACCUGCAGUAUGCAGAAGUUCCCGGGCCAGGGAGCAAACCAUGCCACAGCAGUGACCCGAACCACUGUAAUGACAAUGCUGCAUCCUUAACCCACUGUGUCACAAAGGAACUCCAAGAAAAUGUCUUUUAAACUUUAUGAACCUGAUAAAUGUCUUGCCCCAAAGAUAUGGAAUAUAUAUUUCAUACUUAAUAAUGCAAAAUUCGCUUUGAAACUUUUUGUCAGAAUAUUUGCCUGCCUCUUAAGGAUGAAAUAGAGAUAUAUUAAAAUAUAUUUGCAUAGCCUUAAUAUAGAUCCGCCUAGAGAGCCAGCUGAGUAUAUGCUUGGUCAAAAGGAAAAGAAGAGGCACAAUUAUAAAUAUAACCUAAGUAAUCUACAAAGCUAAUAAUCCUAUGUUAAUGUAUGGAUUACAGUUUUCUCAAUUGAUAAAAUACCUAUAAAUCUAUAUUCUUAGCCCACUUCUAAAAAUAGAAAAAUAUAUGGUUUAUGUUAUUUCAUUAUUCCUAGCCCAUAGCAAAUUCCUAAAAUCUGACAUGAAGAAUGCUCUGGGGAAACAUUUCAAAUUUCCAUCUAAGCAUAUUCAACAAUAUACUUCUCAAAUGCCAGCAAACUGUUCUUGGCAUAAAGGAGCAGAGAGGUCUUAUCAGAAAAUAAGGCUUUUAAGACAUCCUUAAUUCUCCCCACUAUCCAACUAGACAUUAUGCCUAUCUAUCCUCGGACCACUUUUUGCAUCGAUCUUACAACCCUUGAGAUAGUCUUCCUGGAAUGUAACCGAUGAGGAGAGGCUCCGCCGUAGGUAUCUGAGCAGAGUCCUGUGCUUAGUGAUACUAGCUAAACUGAAAGCAGGCUUUUGGUCAACCCCGAUCUCAGUUUCACAUUUCAACAGACUUCUACUCUCACACCUGGCCUGAGGUUCUCCAUCUUUCUUCUGUCAGCCCCUAAAGAAUCAAUGUCGUUUCUGGCUUUUUCUAUGGACAAUAAGAGAGGACCCCCUAUGUUCACCAUUCCCGGGUGUGGGUUGUGUAAAAUGAUACACACGCAGAUUUCUCUCCAGACUUCUUUUGGUUUUUGGAAGACCCCCUGAUUCCCUAUCAUCUCUGACAUAUUUUACCAGGGUAUCAAGUAUCAAUUGGGAAUCAUAGCAUCUUUAAUAAAAUGGUCCAAGCUCUAAUUAACAUUACCAUUAACCUGAUAACUUGAUUAAUCUGAAGGAGCUGAAGAAUUUAUAAGUUCUCAUUACUAGGUCCAUCGAGACCAGCAAGUGUAUGGGCCUGAACCUAAUUAACAAAAUCUUCCUUUUGUCUAUCCCACUCUAUCCCACCAAUCUAAAGUGACCCUUUGAGGCCCAGGGUUACAUCCUAUCUCCUUCCUGAAGUCUCGCAGUUUCCUCUGCUUACUUGUUGAUUGAUGUCAUCGCUUGUUCCAGAUCUGCCACUACACUUAGUAGAUAUAUUAAUAACAUAACUAUAACCUAUACUAGCAACUCAAUUAAUACUGAAUUGAAUGACUUCUAUGUCAUCACUGUAAGAAUUAGUUCGGGAGUUCCCGAUGUGGUGCAAUGGGAUCAGUGGCGUCUCUGUAGCGCCAGGACACAGGUUCAAUUCCCAGCCCAGCACAGUGGGUUAAAGGAUCCAGUGUUGCCAAAGCUGCAGCAUAGGUUACAACUGCAGCUUGGAUAUGAUCCCUGGCCUGGGAACUCCACAUGCCGCAGGAUAGCUCCCCCUCCAAAAAAUAGAAUAGUUUAAUAUUGUAAUGGUGAUAUUACAUUCUCACUUUCUACAUCAGGAAACUGAGGUUCAUAAAUUAAAUAAGUGGGACAAGGGAUGGAGCCAGAAUUAGAAUCUAGAUCUAAUUUAUAAAUUCGCAUUUUUCUCCCAUACGACUGUAUGACUCUUGCAUUUACUGUGUCAAGUGUUAUUCUUAAAUGACACUAUUGGGGUUGGCUUAACAUUUCUAAUACAUUACUUGUAAAAUUGAAUCCUGAUAUAAGCAGAGAGCAGGGGAG
ensembl:lncRNA